AUCAUCAGACAUUGUUGCACCUGUACCUUCACCUGGAGAAACUCCUGUUCAUACAAAGUAUGAAAUCAACAUUAGUAGUUAUCAGGGGAUGGCAAGAAAUUUGUGAUGGAAUAUAGCUGCCUCAACUGUUAUAGUUCCUCAUAAGCUCAAGCAGUUAAUUAUUUUAUUCAACGAUGAAAUUUAAAUAGGUAGAUAAAAGUAGUGGACCAUUACCUGUUAAGCUUUGCAGGGAUUGCUCUAUCUCCCAGCAAGCCAUUACUGCUUCCAUUGCAUGGAUUCGAACGUGUUGCUGCAAUUGUUCUUUAAAGGAACAAAGCAACAGAAAAUAAUGUGUCUACAAUAGCAUGAAAUGGAAAGAUCAAAACUUUGUUAAUAUAUUGUUUGGUCUGCGAAGUAACUUCAACAAGUAACAGAGUCGAUUUAUUGCAACAAUAUAGGGAAUAUAAAGUGCAAGCUUGAAGUCUUAUGAGCUUGAUUUGCAUUCUUCGGAGAAUAGAAGCAGAUCAUCAAAUUGGUAAAAAUCAUGCAAAUUCACCAUGGUUCCUAGACCUAGAAAAAAUAAAUUAUUCAACACUGAAAACCAUAUGACCCCGUAGAUUUUAUUUGAGAAGAAGCCAUUUUUUUUGGGGAAUGUUAUAUGAUACAACUCAAUAGUCUUUGAUAAUUGGGAUUGUAAUGGUGGAGAGCUAUUCUUAUCUUAUUACAUGCCUCUCAAUAUGCAAGAAAAUAAUGUAAAGAUCAACACACACUAUCAAUUUCUAAAAAUGCAUGCAUUAAGGGACCUGACAAAAAUUUCAAGGCAUGCAUACAACUUUCCCCAUGAAAUUAUGUGGAAUCAAUAGAAUCUCAUGCAUGAAGCCAAGCCACCAAGAAAUUAGGCCGUGGUUAGAAGAGCUGCUAGUAACGGUCACGCUUGGCUCAGUGCAUCCUCUCAUGCAAUACCUGUCUCCAAAAAAGGCUUUGAUGCUUGAGACUAUAAUAAAUAUAUUAAUAUUGGUCAUAAAUGAAUCUAGCAAGUCUUAACACUAAAAGGAAAAAUCUGCAGCAUAGAAAAUCAGCUCUUUUCCUUUCUAAUAGACCUAGAUACUCUUUAGAUUAUUAGACCCUUUAGCAUAAAUCUUCAUUGCAUGCCACAUAAUUUCACUCAAUGCUGGAAAUAGAGAACUACAGGAAAAGUUAUGGCAUUGGGACAUCAGUUUUUUUUUUCAAUUAUAUUUUUCUGCCUAUCCAAUAAUUCCUGUGAUUUGGCAAAUCAGUAACCUCUGUAUGUGGUCCCUCUGCUGGAUGUGUUCCCUUUUCAAUAAAUUUAUUCAAUAAUAACGUCUACAGACGCAGGAUGGGCAUAAUAUUAAAUCAAUAACUUAACACUUUGUUGGUUGCCUUAAGAAACACCUAAUCAACUUUGAGUUGGAGAAUUCUGAACUCUGUUGGUGCCAGAUAUUUCCAAGCUCUCAUAUAAUCAUAUUUGAGAAUUUCCCAUUUGUGGGAAGCAGAACAAACUUCAAACACAACAUUGAUUUUACAAUUUAGAUCAAUUCACUAAGAGAAACCCUUUCUGCAGGAUUUCCAUGGAAUUAAUAAAUGAAAUAGUGCCAUUGUCCAUAUAUCACCAUUCUCAGCUCCGAAACCAUAAAAUUUCACAUCUUUUGCAUGAGAUCAAGUAUAUUUGCAUAAUUAUAUCCCAAUUCAAAUUCCAUGUCUAAGCCAGAAACCACAACCAGUUAUGACAGGAACCGAGAUUUGGGACCAAAGAUGCAACCUUUUUUAGUGUCACCAACCUCGUCAUAAAUCCACAAAGUGCCUAACAGCCACUCAAAAAGCAAUCAUCAAAGCUUUCCCUCUUAAAUUUCUACAAAAAUCCUCUGUCGGUGCAUUCACCUCCACUCAUUCUCCAACAGAUACGCAAAAAGUGCUCCAACUGCUAACUUAUUGAAAGCCAAAUUCCAUUUGAAGUAAAGAAACAAAUCCCAAAUUGAUAGAACAAUUAAGCUCCAAUCCACUUUAAUUGACUACCCAUUUCUUGAAUUUGAACCAGAUACUAAAUUCACAAGCUUUGGAAAUAAUAGCAAUUUAUUGACAAAAUAGAACUGAGUUUUUAGCUCAGAAUUUGGAAGAAAAAGGCUUGAAUAAAAUAUAAAUAAAGAGAGAAAACAAGUAAAACUAACAUACCAUGAACUGAUCAAGCUCCUUAUCAUCAACGACCAUUCCCUGAGUCCCGCCGCCGAGGGCGGAGUAUUUAGCCACUACGUGCUGUGACUGGGCAAGCUGAGCGUCAAUUCUCGGCAACUGAUCCACCGGCGUUGCGAUCCGCAAACACGCCACAUGUGCCGACAACAAUUGGUCAUACAAAGGAUGAGACAGUAUCUCCGCCU
rnacentral:misc_RNA from 1 species